rnacentral:rRNA from 1 species
UACGGAGGAUGCGAGCGUUAUCCGGAUUUAUUGGGCGUAAAGCGAGCGCAGGUGGUUUAUUAAGUCUGGUGUAAAAGGCAGUGGCUCAACCAUUGUAUGCAUUGGAAACUGGUAGACUUGAGUGCAGGAGAGGAGAGUGGAAUUCCAUGUGUAGCGGUGAAAUGCGUAGAUAUAUGGAGGAACACCGGUGGCGAAAGCGGCUCUCUGGCCUGUAACUGACACUGAGGCUCGAAAGCGUGGGGAGCAAACAGG